rnacentral:rRNA from 1 species
GCAUAAUCACUUGCCUUUUAAUUGGAGGCCAGUAUGAACGGAUAAACGAGGGGACCCCUGUCUCAUUUAAUAAUAUAUAAAUUAAUCUUUAGGUGAAGAAGCCUAAAUUAAAUUAAAAGACAAAAAGACCCUAUAGAGUUUUACUUUAAAAAAGACGUUCACAAGCUAACGCAUAUGCACAUAUUUCUAUAAGUUUAGUUGGGGCGACAGGGGAACAUACUACCUUCCCCCACAAAAAGACAUUCACUUCAAAGAUCCUAAAAAGACCAUAAAAAUUAUAUUACCUUAGGGAUAACAGGCUAAUCUCCCCCAAGAGCCCAAAUUGACGGGGAGGGUUGGCACCUCGAUGUUGGCUUAAGAUAACUUUUAAAUGCAGCAGUUUAAAUAAGUUGGCUUGUUCAGCCAUUAAAAUCUU